rnacentral:rRNA from 1 species
AGUGAACGCUGGCGGCGUGCCUAAUACAUGCAAGUCGAACGGAGUGGCGCACGGGUGAGUAAUGUAUAGCUAAUCUGCCCUACACUAGAGGACAACAGAUGGAAACGACUGCUAAUACUCUAUAGUGUAGGAUGAGGCUAUAUUGUAUCAGCUAGUUGGUGAGGUAAUGGCUCACCAAGGCUAUGACGCAUAACUGGUCUGAGAGGAUGAGCAGUCACACUGGAAGUGAGACACGAGCCAGACUCCUACGGGAGGCAGCAGAAGGGAAUAGUGCUCAAGGGGCGAAUCCCUGAAGCAGCAUCGCCGCGUGGAGGAUGACACUUGUCGGAGCGUAAACUCCUUUUGUUAGGGAAGCGGUACCUAACGAAUAAGCACCGGCUAACUCCGUGCCAGCCGCCGCGGUAAUUC